rnacentral:rRNA from 1 species
AACGAACGCUGGCGGCAUGCCUAACACAUGCAAGUCGAACGAGACCUUCGGGUCGAGUGGCGCACGGGUGCGUAAGGCGUGGGAACCUGCCAUUAGGUUCGGAAUAACUCCCCGAAAGGGGUGCUAAUACCGGAUAAUGUCUUCGGACCAAAGAUUUAUGGCCUUUGGAUGGGGCCGCGUUGGAUUAGCUAGUUGGUAGGGUAAAAGCCUUCCAAGGCGACGAUCCAUAGCUGGUCUGAGAGGAUGAUCAGCCACACUGGGACUGAGACACGGCCCAGACUCCUACGGGAGGCAGCAGUUGGGAAUAUUGGACAGUGGGCGAAAGCCUGAUCCAGCAAUGCCGCGUGAGUGAUGAAGGCCUUAGGGUUGUAUAGCUCUUUUACCCGGGAUGAUAAUGACAGUACCGGGAGAAUAAGCUCCGGCUAACUCCGUG